UCAACCCCACACCGCUAUCUCCUUCCCGCAUCGAUCUCCUUUCUCCCCACCACAUCUCUCGUCAGUUCGUUCCAUGGGGCUCCGUGGUUAAUCCCGACUAUGGCCGCCGCGAGAUCAACCUUCUCCAGCAACAUCCGGCACCGGAUUCGGGUUCCACUGCCGGCACCUACCAUGGGGGGCACAUAGAAGGCCGCCGGCGGCGCGACGGUACCAUGAGGCCGACGAGGAGCGGGGGCCGGAUCCACUGGCCGUCGGGGGGUGGCUAAUCUGGCGAGGUUCCUCGAUCCUGCCAACCAGAAGCCCGUCCACCGACAUCCUGGCUGCCCCGGCAGCCGUGGUCGCUGUUGGUGUCUCCGUUCAGCACGGGCACCAUGACGGGUCAUCACACAAGGUUGUCGCCGGAUCCGGCGACACCAAGCCUGACUACCACCGGAUCUGAUCGUCGGCCUCCUCUGCUACUUCAAUUUCAGGAUUUUUGAAUGUUUGUGACAGAUUGCAUGUGUUGUAGUUUUUUGAAAGAGACCAAAAUCUAUGAAAUUACUUCCCUGUAAUAUAUUUGAAUGCGGUGUUGCUAGUUGUGAAACAAAGUAAUGUGAAAUGGUUUGUGGCACAAUGUGAAAUUUAUAUUUCAAUCUGGUGAAACUGGAUUACUUCAA